AUUGAACGCUGGCGGCAGGCCUAACACAUGCAAGUCGAACGAGUGGCGGACGGGUGAGUAAUGUCUGGGAAACUGCCUGAUGGAGGGGGAUAACUACUGGAAACGGUAGCUAAUACCGCAUACCAUCGGAUGUGCCCAGCUGGGAUUAGCUAGUUGGUGGGGUAACGCCUCACCAAGGCGACGAUCCCUAGCUGGUCUGAGAGGAUGACCGGCCACACUGGAACUGGAACACGGACCAGACUCCUACGGGAGGCAGCAGUGGGGAAUAUUGCACAAUGGGGGCAAGCCUGAUGCAGCCAUGCCGCGUGUAUGAAGAAGGCCUUCGGGUUGUAAAGUACUUUCAGCGGGGAGGCGUUACCCGCAGAAGAAGCACCGGCUAACUCCGUGCCAGCAGCCGCGGUAAUAC
rnacentral:rRNA from 1 species